AUUGAACGCUGGCGGCAGGCCUAACACAUGCAAGUCGAGCGGAUGAAGGGAGCUUGCUCCUGGAUUCAGCGGCGGACGGGUGAGUAAUGCCUAGGAAUCUGCCUGGUAGUGGGGGAUAACGUCCGGAAACGGGCGCUAAUACCGCAUACGUCCUGAGGGAGAAAGUGGGGGAUCUUCGGACCUCACGCUAUCAGAUGAGCCUAGGUCGGAUUAGCUAGUUGGUGGGGUAAAGGCCUACCAAGGCGACGAUCCGUAACUGGUCUGAGAGGAUGAUCAGUCACACUGGAGCGGAGACACGGUCCAGACUCCUACGGGAGGCAGCAGUGGGGAAUAUUGGACAAUGGGCGAAAGCCUGAUCCAGCCAUGCCGCGUGUGUGAAGAAGGUCUUCGGAUUGUAAAGCACUUUAAGUUGGGAGGAAGGGCAGUAAGUUAAUACCUUGCUGUUUUGACGUUACCAACAGAAUAAGCACCGGCUAACUUCGUG
rnacentral:rRNA from 1 species